rnacentral:rRNA from 1 species
CAGCCGCCGCGGGAAUACGGAGGGUGCAAGCGUUAUCCGGAUUCACUGGGUUUAAAGGGUGCGUAGGCGGAUCUGUAAGUCAGUGGUGAAAUCUCCAGGCUUAACCUGGAAACUGCCGUUGAUACUAUAGGUCUUGAAUUUUGUGGAGGUUAGCGGAAUAUGUCAUGUAGCGGUGAAAUGCAUAGAUAUGACAUAGAACACCAAUUGCGAAGGCAGCUGGCUACACAACUAUUGACGCUGAGGCACGAAAGCGUGGGGAUCAAACAGGAUUAGAUACCCCCGUAGUCCCUGUCUCUUAUAC